GAUGAACGCUGGCGGCGUGCUUAACACAUGCAAGUCGAACGGUGAAGCAGAGCUUGCUCUGUUGAUCCGUUGCGAACGGGUGAGUAACACGUGAGCAACCUGCCCCUGUCUCUGGGAUAAGCGCUUGCAACGGCGUCUAAUACUUGAUAUGUGCUGCGUCCGCAUGGUCAGCUGUUGGAAAGAUUGUUCGGUAUGUGAUGGGCUCACGUCCUAUCAGCUUGUUGGUGAGGUAAUGGCUCACCAAGGCGUCGACGGGUAGCCGGCCUGAGAGGGUGACCGGCCACACUGGGACUGAGACACGGCCCAGAAUCCUACGGGAGGCAGCAGUGGGGAAUAUUGCACAAUGGGCGAAAGCCUGAUGCAGCAACGCCGCGUGAGGGAUGACGGCCUUCGGGUUGUAAACAUCUUUGAGCAGGGAAGAAGCGAAAGUGACGGUACCUGAAGAAAAAGCGCCGGCUAACUACGUG
rnacentral:rRNA from 1 species